AGGCAGACACAGACAGCCACGAUAGGCAGGCACGGACAGGCCUCAAUAGACCAACAGAAAUAGCCACGAUAGGCAGACACAGACAGGCCUCGAUAGACCAACAGAAAUAGCCACGAUAGGCAGACACGGACAGGCCUCGAAAGACCAACAGAAAUAGCCACGAUAGGCAGGCACAGACAGGCCUCGAUAGACCAACAGAAAUAGCCACGAUAGGCAGACACAGACAGGCCUCGAUAGGCCGAACAUAAAUAGCCACGAUAGGCCAGACGCCAGAGGUGUCAAGUAACGAAGUACAAAUACUUCGUUACUGUACUUAAGUAGAAAUUUGGGGUAUCUAUACUUUACUUGAGUGAUUAUUUUUCAGCAGACUUUUUACUUCUACUCCUUACAUUUUCAGGCAAGUAUCUGUACUUUCUAGUCCUUACAUUUUAAAAAUAGCUUCGUUACUGCUAUUUCAUUUCGGCUUGUUUUCAUUCCGGCUUGUCAUCAUUAAAAAAAAAAAAAAAAAACCUAUCCAGAUAAAUCGCGCCAUCCGGAUGGAGUGAAUUUGAUUGUGGUUGGAUGAGAAGUAUAAACAUAUACCAUUCCGACACCCUAUUGGUCUUUACGCGAUCCAUCGCACCUGCACGUGACACAAAUCACAUCACAGUCCAGCCAGGACCAGAGCCAUAUAGAGUGAGAGUUGCGACAACUCCAUUGACUCCAAUGGAACGCUUUUUUUACAGCAAUGGCGGCUCGUGGAGCCUCUCAAUAGUUCCCGGAAGUAGCGGCAAACCGAUGCCGCGCCGUAGAAGAUGCAGCAGAACAAACCGUUUGCGACGCACUUUUAACAGGUGGAGGAUUAGUGGUGCCACUGAAGUGUUCUGUGAUGGAGCAUCAGUGAGGAUGCAGGUCAGGAGAGCUGAGGGGACCUUUUUUUUUUGAUAGCUGAAUUUUCAUUAUUUUUCUUAGUGCUGCCUUUGCAUUGCUUGAUCUUUAUUUUUUUUUCUUGUCUCUUAAAUUUUUUUAAUAAACCCUGGUAACUGGCUGAUGGUUCACAGGAAUGCUGACUGGCUGCUGACUGACUUGCUGCUGGUUGACUGGGCAGUGUCACCUGUCCCUGUCUCUCCUCUCUAGCCAUGUCCUUUUUCUUCACUCUCACUUUCCUUUCUCUGAGUGUCCUCGUUCUUUUUUCCUCAACUUUUGAAACUGAUAGAGGUAGAAUACAUGGUUUUGCUAAUUUUAAAUAUUGAAAAUAUCACAUCACUUUACUUCAACUAGUACGAGUUUGUACUUAUUAUAUAUGAAUCACCUGAAAUAACAUAGCUGUAAUCAGCAGCCAUUUCUUGUAUGUUCACAGGUCUAGGGGUGCAUCGUGGAGCAGGGCCCUCCUCUUUUUGACCACAGGACGGUGUACAAAGAUUGUGGGAAUAGCAUCUGGUCUCAGCCUACUCUUGAAUUUUUUGGUCAUGACAAAUUGCAUUGCCACAAUUUGUCUGCAUACUGACUUCAGUUUAGUUUCCACACACACCUUUUUUUUUGUCUACCCACUUACAGUACAUAUCACAUGGUGGUUAAAUGCACAGUUAUAGGUAACACUGAUGACUCCCUGCAAUGUCUCACCAUGAGUCUCAGCUCCCUGGGUUUUGCAAGGCUUUGCUUGUUCCUUAUUUCUAGUAAAACAUUGUCAAUGUAAAAAAGUGCAAAUAAAUCGGGGAAGCCAUACAUUCGCACACCUUUCUCUGACUGAGUGGAGCAUCCCCAUGCAGCACAGUAAACCACGGUGGAGACUAUGCAAGGACAACAUGAAAGAAAGGACACAUACAAAAUGCUUGUCAUGCUAUUAAAUUUAUUAGAAAUGUAUUCAUGAAUUGCUGUAAAUAGUUAAUUGUAUAAUUACAAUUUAAAAUAACUGUUUUCUAUUUUAAAAUGGAAUAUACUCCUGUGAUGCCAACCUGAAUUUUCAGCAUCAUUUUGAAUGGCAGUGUACAUGUUUAUAUACGAGCAUGCUUAAGUUGUUUUAAACCUGAAUAUAUUGUGUACAUGAAUAAGUAUUGUAAGAAUUAUACUAGAUAUAAUAGAUAUAUUAUUUAUAAUACAUAAUUAUAUUACUAUAUGUAAUUGUAAGAAUUAUAAACCGUAAGCUUCAUUUUACAUUUAUUUAACAUGCUAAUUACUGCUGGUAACAGUUAAUUGACCCAUAGUGCGGUGCGAGCUGAAAAUCACCUGUUACCAGCCUGUCUCUGUACUACCUGAAAGUCAUCGAUAUGACAUGAGUUAACAUUAGAUCAGUGAAAAAAUUGACAAUAUGUAACGUUAAAAGGCAACAGCAACCCGUGUUUAUAAAACUUAACGUUAGCCUGAAAUACGUUUUUAAAAUAACGGUAAUUGAACACUAAUCCUCAAAUAUUACCCGAUUUGAUAUUUUAAAAACAACAUCGCUGUAACUACAUACUCAUGCUACAUACAUAUGUCAGUGUGUUGUAUAAACAUAUAAAAUAAAUGCAUUUAUUGACUCCUUAUUACCAGAAA